GCCUACGGGAGGCAGCAGUAGGGAAUCUUCCACAAUGGACGAAAGUCUGAUGGAGCAACGCCGCGUGAACGAUGAAGGCUUUCGGGUCGUAAAGUUCUGUUGUAAGGGAAGAACAAGUGCCGCAGGCAAAGGCGGCACCUUGACGGUACCUUGCGAGAAAGCCACGGCUCACUACGUGCCAGCAGCCGCGGUAAUACGUAGGUGGCAAGCGUUGUCCGGAAUUAUUGGGGGUAAAGCGCGCGCAGGCGGCCUCUUAAGUCUGAUGGAAAAGCCCCCGGCGCAACCGGGGAGUGCCAUUGGAAACUGGGAGGCUUGAGUAUAGGAGAGAAGAGUGGAAUUCCACGUGUAGCGGUGAAAUGCGUAGAGAUGUGGAGGAACACCAGUGGCGAAGGCGACUCUUUGGCCUAUAACUGACGCUGAGGCGCGAAAGCGUGGGGAGCAAACAGGAUUAGAUACCCCGGUAGUC
rnacentral:rRNA from 1 species